GAGAUUUAUGUCUCAAAGUGAGAAAAAUUAUUUGUGAACAAACUUAUUUGCUCAUGUCAUAAAUCUUUUCUUGCUAUUGUAAGUUUUUGUUUGUGAUUCAAAGUUUUGCUUGCUUCUCACAUGACGUCGUGGGCAGGGCCGAAAAUUGCAACAAAAGAAUUCUGAUGUGUGCAAAUAAAAGUUUGUUUUGCAAAGAACUUUUUAAGUUAACAAGACAAAAUUUAGUUAUUUAAUUAAAAAAAUUAAAAUAAAACUUUUUGUUUAAAAAAAAUAAAUCAUUAUAAUUCAAGCAGUUUUGUAAAUUCUAUUCCCCUUCAAGAUACAUUAACCUAAUGCCAGAAUAAAUGCAAUUAAUAUACAUUAUGCAGCAAAGGAAAUUAGAUAAUCGGACAUAUAUUCAUUAUAGAGAGAUGAUCGGUUUUGGAUCGUUGAUGUGGCCCCAUCAGCAAUAAUGAAGAAUGACCGCUAUCAUUAGCGAUACAGGGAAGAAGCUUUUUAGUUAUCUUGCUUUGCUACCAAACUCGUUAGCUAACAGCUAGCUAAUAGGACAACAACAACAGCCUAAUGUCUGUAUGAUAAAAUACUGAAUCGAUAGAUAAGAACAGUUUUUCCUUACUUUUCCUUCCUUCCUCCUCCACGUUGAGCUCCGCAGUAAGCUACUGCGCAGUCUCACUGACUGAGCGGGAGGCAGCUGCGUCAUGCGUCACGGACAAAAGGUCAAAGGUAACAAGGUGACCCGAAGGGCUUAUUAUGUUGUUUUUCUUUAAAUAAAAACAACAACAACAAAAAAUAAUAAUUUUAGUACAUAUCAGAGGAGGGCUUGGGAAAUUAACUUAAAAAAAAAAAAAAAAAAAAAAAAAUUGGACCAAAAGGGCACUUUAGGGCAAGGAGCAAAAAGGGCAGGUGCUCAAGCACCCCCAGCCCCCCCCUCUGCACGUGCCUGGCUGUGACUGUGACAGAGGUUCAAACAGGACUCCUUGCUGACCUGCAAGUGGACCAGUUCGUGUACUGCACUUCACCAUCUUCACCUGGCCAGCUGGGAUGAUGAAGUUCUGUCGCUUGUCGAGCAAAAACCUGGGUUCAGAAUUUUCCAAAGAACUUUACAAAUACACCCCUCGCUUCUUUGAGAUUUUCAAGAGCAAGGGGGGAAGUGUUGCCCAGAAACUUCAGACGUAUCUGCAACAAGUCAGAACCCGAGAGUUCAGAUAUUACUGCGAAGCGAAUGGCAGUGCUCCGUGGCCUUCCUGUAAUCCUUGGAGAUGAGAACACAGACUUCUUCAAGACAUGCUUUGACUGCGAAGAGCCAGACGUCUCUCACCCCCAUUGGGAUCCUGACCAUCAUUCCUGAGGACAGGCAGGCCUCCCCUGACUCACUGCACCUUGAGUCUUCAGGUACUGCCAUCAUUUUGGAAGGAAGUCUUGUCAUGAAUGACCUUGGAAAUCUUCCACAUGCCAUGUGCUUGCUCUUUGGACUUAUUUAUGCUCUGAAUUUGGAGUACCCUCAACAACUGAAGUACACCUUUGACUUCAUCCAAAGGGUGCUUCUCUCACUUGGACAUAAAUCCCUAAAACCAAAAAUACAAUCACUCAAAAAUCUUCUGAUGCAAUGAGUGAAUGUGAUGUGACAUUAUGGAUCAACGUUGAUACCUUUCCCCUUAUUGGAAAAGUGAUU